rnacentral:rRNA from 1 species
UGGGGAAUUUUGGACAAUGGGCGCAAGCCUGAUCCAGCAAUGCCGCGUGCAGGAUGAAGGCCUUCGGGUUGUAAACUGCUUUUGUACGGAGCGAAAAGGUCUGCCCUAAUACGGUGGGCUCAUGACGGUACCGUAAGAAUAAGCACCGGCUAACUACGUGCCAGCAGCCGCGGUAAUACGUAGGGUGCGAGCGUUAAUCGGAACUACUGGGCGUAAAGCGUGCGCAGGCGGUUAUACAAGACAGAGGGGAAAUCCCCGGGCUCAACCUGGGAACUGCCUUUGUGACUGCAUAGCUAGAGUACGGUAGAGGGGGAUGGAAUUCCGCGUGUAGCAGUGAAACACGUAGAUAUGCGGAGGAACACCGAUGGCGAAGGCAAUCCCCUGGACCUGUACUGACGCUCAUGCACGAAAGCGUGGGGAGCAAACA